CCAAUAGCGUAUAUUAAAGUUGUUGCAGUUAAAAAGCUCGUAGUUGAAUUUCGGGACCAAUAUGUCGGUCGUGCUUCGGUACGUACUUGCAUUAUUGGUUUCUCCCUUCUGAGGAACCAUGAUGUCAUUAAUUUGGUGUCGUGGGAAAUCAGGACUGUUACUUUGAAAAAAUUAGAGUGUUUAAAGCAGGCUCGCGCUUGAAUACAUUAGCAUGGAAUAAUGAAAUAGGACGUUUGAUUCUAUUUUGUUGGUUUCUAGGAUCGACGUAAUGAUUAAUAGGGAUAGUUGGGGGCAUUAGUAUUCAAUUGUCAGAGGUGAAAUUCUUGGAUUUAUUGAAGACUAACUACUGCGAAAGCAUUUGCCAAGGAUGUUUUCAUUAAUCAAGAACGAAAGUUAGGGGAUCGAAGUCGAUCAGAUACCGUCGUAGUCUUAACCAUAAACUAUGCCGACUAGGGAUCGGAUGAUGUUAAUUUUUUAAUGACUCAUUCGGCGCCUUAC
rnacentral:rRNA from 1 species